rnacentral:misc_RNA from 1 species
UGACUCUGUUUGGAAAGCCACGUGUGGGUCAUUUUGAAAUGCUGAAGCUUCUUGAAUACCACUUUCUUAUAAAAGAAAAAUCUCCAGCUGAUGAUGUUGUUAGAGUGGGAGUUGCUGAUGCUGUUGGGGGCCAGUUAGAGGCUUCUGGAAGCAUUGAUAGUCAAUUGAUUACGAACAAUGACAAAAGGCGUAGAACGCGUAAAAAGAUGGAUGAGAGGGGACCACUGAUUCAUCCAAAUCCAGAUGAAUAUGCAGCAAUA